rnacentral:rRNA from 1 species
GUGGGGAAUAUUGGACAAUGGGCGAAAGCCUGAUCCAGCCAUGCCGCGUGUGUGAAGAAGGCUUUCGGGUUGUAAAGCACUUUCAGUGGGGAAGAAAUCCUCGGGGCCAAUACCCUCGAGGGAGGACAUCACCCACAGAAGAAGCACCGGCUAACUCCGUGCCAGCAGCCGCGGUAAUACGGAGGGUGCGAGCGUUAAUCGGAAUUACUGGGCGUAAAGCGCGCGUAGGCGGCGUGAUAAGCCGGUUGUGAAAGCCCCGGGCUCAACCUGGGAACGGCAUCCGGAACUGUCAGGCUAGAGUGCAGGAGAGGAAGGUAGAAUUCCCGGUGUAGCGGUGAAAUGCGUAGAGAUCGGGAGGAAUACCAGUGGCGAAGGCGGCCUUCUGGACUGACACUGACGCUGAGGUGCGAAAGCGUGGGUAGCAAACAGGAUUAGAAACCCUAGUAGUCC